CAGCAUCCGCGGGAAUACGUAGGGUGCAAGCGUUAAUCGGAAUUACUGGGCGUAAAGCGUGCGCAGGCGGUGUUGUAAGACUGAUGUGAAAUCCCCGGGCUCAACCUGGGAACUGCAUCGGUGACUGCAACGCUGGAGUGCGGCAGAGGGGGAUGGAAUUCCGCGUGUAGCAGUGAAAUGCGUAGAUAUGCGGAGGAACACCGAUGGCGAAGGCAAUCCCCUGGGCCUGCACUGACGCUCAUGCACGAAAGCGUGGGGAGCAAACAGGAUUAGAUACCCCCGUAGUCCCUGUCUCUUAUAC
rnacentral:rRNA from 1 species